rnacentral:rRNA from 1 species
AUUGAACGCUGGCGGCAUGCCUUACACAUGCAAGUCGAACGGCAGCACGGGUGCUUGCACCCGGUGGCGAGUGGCGAACGGGUGAGUAAUAUAUCGGAACGUGCCCUAGAGUGGGGGAUAACGUAGCGAAAGUAACGCUAAUACCGCAUACGAUCUACGGAUGAAAGGGGGGGAUCGAAAGACCUAAUGCCCCUGGAGCGGCCGAUAUCUGAUUAGCUAGUUGGUGGGGUAAAAGCCUACCAAGGCGACGAUCAGUAGCUGGUCUGAGAGGACGACCAGCCACACUGGGACUGAGACACGGCCCAGACUCCUACGGGAGGCAGCAGUGGGGAAUUUUGGACAAUGGGGGAAACCUGAUCCAGCAAUGCCGCGUGUGUGAAGAAGGCCUUCGGGUUGUAAAGCACUUUUGUCAGGAACGAAACGGUGGGGGCUAAUAUCUCCUGCUAAUGACGGUACCUGAAGAAUAAGCACCGGCUAACUACGUGCCAGCAGCCGCGGUAA